rnacentral:lncRNA from 1 species
AAAAAGUAUUUGAGGAACCAUGUGGAAUGAGGGCCCCAGCAAACAAUAGAACAUGGCAGCUUUGGCCAUCUGGUUCUGGCUAUAGAGUCAAGGAUACAAGAAAGGGAUCAUGGAAUCUCUUGUUGUGACUAGGGAAAGGUAAGAAGGCCAGACAUGUGUCAGGUGUGUCCUUGCAUGGAGGCCUAGAGAGACCAUUGUGCAAAGCUAUGAAGGUGAAGCCUGGAUUGCCUUGGAGACCCCAAAAUGUUGGAGAUGACAGAGCUGUGGGGUACUUUCAAAGGAGAGAUUCUAACCGUGGAAUCAGCCCAUGAGAAAGAGGUGUAUUGCAGCCAACAAAGCUGAAAGGAGGUGGAGGUCUGAAGAGCACUUUUGACAUCAGACAUGGAGAUACAGAGUUUGGAGUUUGCCCAGCUACUUUUUGGUUUAGUAUUUCUUCACUAUGCUCCCUGUAGAAUUAUAAUGGAUAUCCUGUGCCAUUAUGUUGAAGACCAUGGAGAAGAACAACAAAUGGCUUUAGAACUCAUGGAAUAUGGCCUACCAGUAGCACAAUCAUGAUGGGUGUGCCUUAGAGAGGCAAGGUUCCAAGGACUACAUGUCCUCAGGACUUCAUGCUGUUACGGAAACAACUCUGUUGUCUUCUCAGUCAUCACACCACUCCUAAUCUAUGAGAUGUAUAAAAACUCUAAGGGGCCUUCCAGUCCCUGAGUGGGCAGUACCAUUGACCCUUACAAUAAUGGUGAUUGAUCUUUUUCAAGCAUUGCUGCUGGAGCAGAUUAAAGAGUCAUCUACAACUUGUAGUAAGACUUAAAGAUGUGUAGUAACAUUCACCACCCUUAGAAAGAAUUUGGAGAUAAAGAUUGUUAGGAAAGUUAGAUUAAGAUGUUUUUGCUGGUGCAUUUGAUAUAGGAAACUUUAGGAAAUAAUCUGAGGUUCAGAAAGGAACAUUCUUAAUAGUUGACCUAGGGAUUUUUUGAGGUCAGGAGACAAGAACAAUGGCAGCCAGACUACUAUUGGCUGAUGUGCCUCUCUUGCUAAAGCUGGGCUAAUGAUCAAGGUGAUAAUUAAUUUCCAUUUUUUCCCUCAGAUUCCUGGUAUUGACUUAAUAAAAAAAUUGUUAUUGAGUAGAUGUGCACCUUGCAGAUUCUUUUAUAUAAAAGUUUAGAUUUAUGAUUCCUUAAAGAUUUUUAUGAUUACUUUUAAGGUAAAUAAUAAAAUUAUUCUUUCUUGAUAACUGCAAAUUUCUGCCUGCCAGUAAAAAUCUGGCUGAGAAAGUUAGCUUGCUUGCUUACACUUUGUUAAUUAUAACAAGUUGCUUGGUUCAAAAUGCAUGUGGAUUUUUGAAAAUAUUUUUAUAUAUGAUAUGUAAACCAUUUGAUCAUGAGAUGAUAUUAGGGAACACAUUUUUUUCUUCUAUGUAAACUCACUGUAAUUGUUCACUUAAAGAAAAAUACAAUGUAGUCACGUAAUUUUUAUACUGCUUGAGAGAUUUUGGUGAGUGAUACAAGCUAUGGGGGAAAUAAAGUUAAGAGAACUUGUG